UGCCAAAUGAGGGGCAACAGCAGUUGGUAAGUGAGUUUUGAGAUCUGUUUGCAAUUUGCUGUGUGCACCAGCCUGUGCAUUUAUGUAACUUUGCCUGAAUUUUAGCUGAGCAAUGUUUUGGAUAUCAGAAAGCAUCCAGAUGAGCAUUUGGCUACUGUGUACAACACAAUGCUGACACAAUCAGACGUGUGCCAUCUGGGAUGGGAAGAUGAAUUUGAGGCAAUGGUUCUGAACCGUUGCCUUAAAGUGGUGGAAACUAUAGCAAAGUCACAGGUGUUGUGAACUGGAAAAAAUGGCCCAAAUCAGCCAAGACUGAAAUGCAAGUGCCUUUUAUUGUUAUUAGUAGUUUUAUAUAUUACUAAAGAGUUCCCUAAAUGUGACACGUUAUUCAGUUCUGCUCUGGUUACUUUGGUAAGGGAAGCGUGGUUGCCUGAAAGGAUUUUAUGAAUGAAUCGAGGACCCAGACUGCUGCUUCAUGUGCCAGUGUUAGUGUGUGUG